AGCCUCCCUCCCAGCUGCUUUCACGGGCUGAUAUUGAGUGUCUGCGGCUUUUCCAGGUGCACAGUGCAAGCUGUCAGUGGAUCUACCAUUCUGGGGUCUAGAGGAUGGUAGCAGUCUUCUCACAGCUCCACUAGGCAGUGACCCAGUAUGGACUCUGUGUGGGGGCUCUGACCCCACAUUUCCCUUCUGCACUGCCCUAGCAGAGGUUCUCCAUGAGGGCCCUGUCCCUGCAGCAAACUUUUGCCUGGGCAUCCAGGCGUUUCCAUACAUCUUCUGAAAUCUAGGCGGAGGUUCCCAAACCUCAAUUCUUGACUUCUGUGCACCUAUAGGCUCAACACCACGUGGAAGUUGCCAAGGCUUGGAGCUUCCACCUUCUGAAGCCACAGUCUGAGCUGUACGUUGGAGCCUUUCAGCCACAGCUGGAGUGGCUGGGACAGUCACAAAGCUAGUAAGUGAUAGAGGAGGGAUGUGAACUUGGUUGGACUGGCUCCAGAGUCUAUACUCCAAAUUAUUCCUCCUGGAUAAGACAUAGUUUUGAGUGGAGAAAGUCUCACCUGGCUCCCUUUUCGGUUAAUGGAUGUCUCCAGGAAGCCUCCUUGGUCCUACCUUCAAAGAUAGGUCUGAAACCCAGUGGCUUUGAAGAACAAGCUGCCAUGAAUCCUGCAGCUACAAGGAAAUGAACUCUAUUAACUUGAGUGAGCUUAAAACUAGAUCCUUCCCCAGUCAAGCCUCCAGGUGAGAAUUCAAUCCUGGCUGGCACCUGGAUUGCAGCUUACAGAAGACCCAGCUAAGGCCAUGUCUGGACUUUAAAUCCACAGGAACUGCAAGAUGGUAUCAGAAGUGGGACCUGCAGUGGGGCAUCUAGCAACCCCCAGGAGCAUUGAGUGACCAGGCUUGGGACCCACCGGGCGCAGGGUGUCCAUUGUUCUCUCGAAGCAACUGAGAAUUGUGGAUAUUCUUCAUUAUUCCAUCAUCAUCUCAAACCUCUUGGGUAUAGUGUUUGACUACUACUGUGACCAUAAAUUCCAAUAAAACCUAGGAAAAAUGAAACCACUACAUUAACUGAAAGGGAAGGAUUUGACAGCUUCUUUUGGGCAUAUCAGAAUCGCCAGCAUCACUACUCUUGCACUGUGCGGCCAUUAUUAAGUGAAAUAAGGAUUACUUGAACACAAGCACUGCAAUGCCGCUACAGUCAAUGUGAUAACCCAGCUGGUGACUAAGUGACCAAGGACGGGGAGUAUCUACAGCGGGGAGACUCUGGAAAAAGGGAGGAUUCACAUCCAGUGCCACUGGGGCAGGGCAGAAUGAGAGUUCAUCAUGCUACAAAGAAUGGCACAGAAUAUACGACUUGUGAGUGGAUUAUCUCUGGAAUUUUCUGUUGACUACAUUUGUACUACAGUUGUAUGUGGGUAACAAACUGUGGAAAGUGAAACUUCGGGUAAGGGGGAGGCUACCGUAGAUAGCCCAGUAUUUCUUAUUUUGUGGAUUUGUUUAUCUUUCUGCUCACAUCCUUUUCCUUCUGCAUUACCAUUUUAGUAAAAAUAGAUAGCAUCCAUUUGGUGUUUAGUAUGUUUUUGGCACAGUCGAACAUUUUACAAACAUUAUAUCAUUUAAUCUGCAUAAAACCUAUACAGUAGGUACAACUAUUAUCCAGUUUUUUAGACAAGGCAAACUGGAUCACAGGGAGUUCAAAACGCCUCUUCCCUUGGUCAAGUUGGGUCAUGUAAUUGUCAAAGUUAAAACAUGCCCCUUAGGAGAUGAUUUAAAAUUCCCUAAUUUUUUAGAAGAAUCUUCAGUUUUCCCAGGAUAGAACAUUUAUUGAUAUGGUAAAUAUGUG
rnacentral:lncRNA from 10 species